CGAGAGGGUAAUUGACCCUUGGACCGUCUUCGACUGGCAUUGGAGGGCCUUUUGGAAGCUUAACUUGAGCAAGAGUGAGGCCUCGUGGGGCUGAUUUGGGACCCUUGUAAAUUGAUUUGGAGAUUAGUACGAGAGCCAUCUACAGGAGAGGCUAGGGA